UACGUAGGGGGCGAGCGUUGUCCGGAAUUAUUGGGCGUAAAGAGCGUGUAGGCUGUUCGGUAAGUCUGCCGUGAAAACCUGAGGCUCAACCUCGGGCGUGCGGUGGAUACUGUCGGGCUUGAGUACGGAAGAGGCGAGUGGAAUUCCUGGUGUAGCGGUGAAAUGCGCAGAUAUCAGGAGGAACACCAAUUGCGAAGGCAGCUCGCUGGGACGUUACUGACGCUGAGACGCGAAAGCGUGGGGAGCAAACAGG
rnacentral:rRNA from 1 species